CCCUUAGAUGUUCUGGGCCGCACGCGUGCUACACUGAGUGGAUCAGCGGGUCAGGUUGCGCGAAAGUGUUUCCUAAUCUUGAAAUCCGCUCGUGAUGGGGAUUGACGGUUGCAAUUUUCCGUCAUGAACGAGGAAUACCUUGUAAGCGCGGGUCAUCAUCCCGCGCUGAAUACGUCCCUGCCCUUUGUACACCCCGCCCGUCGCUCCUACCGAUUGAGUGGUCCGGUGAGGCUUUGGGAUCUGAGCGGAAAGAGCGUUUCGCUGUUUCUGCUCGGAAAACUCAGUCGAACCUUAUCAUUUAGAGGAAGGAGAAGUCGUAACA
rnacentral:rRNA from 1 species